rnacentral:lncRNA from 1 species
CUGGGACGGCUAUAGACUUUGUAGAAGUCUAUGUUUGGUUUGAUUCUGGGACGGGAGUGGACUUGGUAGAAGUCUGACGCGGAUGAAACUUGAACUUGGUCGCUGGCAUCAAUACUAAUUUUAUUAAAUAAACUAGUACGCACCCUCAAUAUGAUUUUGACAUAUUGACCAAUAAAAUCGGGAUGCACUUUCUAAAUCUUUUCAUCAAUUUUUACUAUUUAAAUAAAUUUUAAAUUGGAUUAGUGGGAUUCAUUCUGCCAUUGUUGAUCACUUAUCUAUGCAAAAAAAUAUAUUAAGCCCUAUUGGACCAACUGCAUGGACUACUGUUCUAACGGUCUACAACUU